CUGAAAUGUGUUUACACUAUAAAUAAAAAUCUAGUCCAAAGGUACAGUAGACCGAGGCCAGGCAUAGGCUCGUGGUGUAAACACGGCUCUAGUUAUCGACCGGAUUUUAAUAGGCACGCACAAAUAGGAUAGUGAUGUUUGUGUUGUUACUCUGAGUAUAUAUAUCCACACUGGGCAAGCUCAAAAAAUAUGCCUGGCCACGGUGGCUAUCGAACCUCCAACCUUUGGAAUACUAGCCCAAUGCUCUGCCAACAGAGCUACGCGGUCAGGUCGGUUCGAGUAUGUGAUAUUUCGGAACUGAGUCUAGCUCUUUUGAUAUCGAUGUAAUCUAGCUAGUAAUGAUUUUUUUCUAUAAGCUUGCCCCGUGUGGAUAUACACUCAGAGUAACAUCACAAGCAUCCAGACAUAUACACCUGAGUACAUUGUAC